rnacentral:rRNA from 1 species
AGCGAACGCUGGCGGCGUGCCUAACACAUGCAAGUCGAACGCGAAAGGGGGGGCAACUCCCCGAGUAGAGUGGCGCACGGGUGAGUAACGCGUGGGUAAUCUGCCUUCGAGUGGGGAAUAACCUCGCGAAAGCGGGGCUAAUACCGCAUAACAUCCUCUCGUCCUUGGAUGGGGGGAUCAAAGAUGACCUCUGCAUGCAAGUUGUCGCUCGAAGAGGAGCCCGCGUCCCAUUAGCUAGUUGGUAGGGUGACGGCCUACCAAGGCGACGAUGGGUAGCCGGCCUGAGAGGGUGACCGGCCACACUGGAACUGAGACACGGUCCAGACUCCUACGGGAGGCAGCAGUGAGGAAUAUUGCGCAAUGGGCGAAAGCCUGACGCAGCGACGCCGCGUGGAGGAUGAAGGCCUUCGGGUCAUAAACUCCUGUCGAGGGGGACGAAAUGGCUCCUUGCUAAUAUCGAGGAGCCU